GUGAACGCUGGCGGUAGGCCUAACACAUGCAAGUCGAACGGCAGCACAGUAAGAGCUUGCUCUUACGGGUGGCGAGUGGCGGACGGGUGAGGAAUACAUCGGAAUCUACUUUUUCGUGGGGGAUAACGUAGGGAAACUUACGCUAAUACCGCAUACGACCUACGGGUGAAAGCAGGGGAUCUUCGGACCUUGCGCGAUUGAAUGAGCCGAUGUCGGAUUAGCUAGUUGGCGGGGUAAAGGCCCACCAAGGCGACGAUCCGUAGCUGGCCUGAGAGGAUGAUCAGCCACACUGGAACUGAGACACGGUCCAGACUCCUACGGGAGGCAGCAGUGGGGAAUAUUGGACAAUGGGCGCAAGCCUGAUCCAGCCAUACCGCGUGGGUGAAGAAGGCCUUCGGGUUGUAAAGCCCUUUUGUUGGGAAAGAAAAGCAGCAGGUUAAUACCCCGCUGUUCUGACGGUACCCAAAGAAUAAGCACCGGCUAACUUCGUG
rnacentral:rRNA from 1 species